rnacentral:rRNA from 1 species
UACGUAGGGUGCAAGCGUUAAUCGGAAUUACUGGGCGUAAAGCGUGCGUAGGCGGUUGCGCAAGACAGGUGUGAAAUCCCCGGGCUUAACUCGGAAAGGUCAACUGAUACUGUGCGACUAGAGUGCAGAAGGGGCAACUGGAAUUCUCGGUGUAGCGGUGAAAUGCGUAGAUAUCGAGAGGAACACCUGCGGCGAAGGCGGGUUGCUGGGCUGACACUGACGCUGAGGAGCGAAAGCGUGGGGAGCGAACAGG